AAAAAAUCCUCUACCACUCUCCUCCACACGGUCAGCUCUUUCUCUCUCUACUAUUUUUUUUUCCUUCAACUUUGUCUCGUUUCCGAGAAAGUUGAACUUCCAAAUGGGUUUCAGACCUCUGCAUUUUCUCAGCAACCAUCGAUGAGUUUGGUACUUGAAUUGAUCUUGAGGCAUUAAUUUGUCAUUGGGUUUAUCCUGCAGGAUGACAAAGUGGUUGCUUUCCAAGACAUCAAACCCGCUGCUUUAAGGUAUUGAACAAAUUCUCCCAAUUCCAUUCAACAUGAUCAUUUUGAUUGAAUGAGUAAAGUGACGGUCUUUCAGGCAUUACUUGGUUAUUCCUGUGGAUCACAUCCCAACUGUUAAUGAUCUUCAAAGGAGACCUGAAGACUACACUUUGGUAAGUCACAUGUUGGAAGUGGGGAAAACACUGGUACAAAGAGAUGCACCUCAGUGCCAUCAGUACAGAUUUGGCUUUCAUCAACCACCAUUUAACUCUGUCAACCAUCUUCACCUCCAUUGUUUUGCACUACCUUAUACACCCAGAUGGAAACAUAUAAAAUAUCUAUCCGUGGGAUCAUUUGGAUUCAUUGAGGCUGAAAAGUUGUUGGAAAAGAUUAAGCCUUUGCCUUAACAGCUGUGAUUUCUAUUAUAAUUCGGGUUGAACAUGAUACAUCUUCAGAGUUCAGAUCUUCUUUCCCUAUUAAGUGCGUAGACUUUGUAACCCAAGAGGAUAGACUAUGUUAAAGCUCAAGGAGUUCGUAGAA